UCUUUAUCAUUUCCAUUUCUUCUCAGAACGAAGAUAGACGUCCCAAAGGCGGGAGUCGGUUUGCGAUUUGCGAUGAGCGGCCCAAACGCGUUGCUGAGAGCGAAAGCAGCAGCACCGCAGCUCCUCUGCUCAUUCCUACGCACGAGCUGCGCCUGCCCGAGAGCUGCUGCUCGCUACUACUCUGUUCGGUGCUCCCUCGAACCACCGGAUGUGCCGCGUUUGGCUGACACAGCUCGGAUCUCUCUCACACCAAAGGAGGUUGAGGAUUUUGCUCCCAAAAUUCAACAAAUGAUAGACUGGUUUGGACAGCUCCAAGCUGUUGAUCUUGAAAGUGUUGAACCUGCACUUCGAGCUGACACUGAAGUUGGCGAUAAUUUGCGACCCGAUUCGGCUGUAACAUUUGAAAACAGGGAGGCGAUGUUAGCAGCUGUUCCAAGCUACGACGAGCCAUAUAUCAAAGUUCCCAGGGUCUUGAACAAGGAGUAAUGCUAAUUUAAGCAAAGACUGUUCCAUCAUUGAUUGUUGUGCUUCCUGAUAGGAGAAAAGAUCCAUAAUGUCAAGCAAAACGAGCCCCAGUGUGAUCUGGCCAUUCCAAAACCAAGGAUCAAACCAUCUGUUAGGUGGGCCAUCACAUGAACCUAUGCUGACGACCAUUCUAUUUUCAGCUGGGCUGUGACAAGGUAUAUCUUAAUGGUAGGUUGAGUUUUAGACAAGAUGUUGACAUGUUUACCGCUUCUAUCAGACAAAAACGAGUUGAAAUGGUUUUUUUAUUGUGAGUAUGCUUUUAAAAACAGCAUGAUUACAUCCCAUAUUGGACGUUUA